GACGAACGCUGGCGGCGUGCUUAACACAUGCAAGUCGAACGAUGAAGCCCUUCGGGGUGGAUUAGUGGCGAACGGGUGAGUAACACGUGAGCAACCUGCCCUUGGCUUGGGGAUAACCUUCGGUAAACGGGGGACGUAAUAACCUGAUGUGACACAUGUCCGCAUGGCGUGUGUGGAAGACUUGUUUGGUCCAGGGAGUGGGCGUCGCGGCCUAUCAGCUUGUUGG
rnacentral:rRNA from 1 species